rnacentral:rRNA from 1 species
UACGUAGGUGACAAGCGUUGUCCGGAUUUACUGGGCGUAAAGAGCGCGCAGGCGGUCGAUCAAGUCGAGUGUGAAAGCCCCCGGCUCAACUGGGGAGGGUCAUUCGAUACUGAUCGACUCGAAGGCAGGAGAGGGUAGUGGAAUUCCUGGUGUAGCGGUGAAAUGCGCAGAUAUCAGGAGGAACACCGGUGGCGAAGGCGGGUCUCUGGGCUGACACUGACGCUCAUGCACGAAAGCGUGGGGAGCAAACAGG